rnacentral:lncRNA from 1 species
CAGUCUAUCCUUUCUUGGUCAUAACUGAAGUUUAGUAGUGCUAGUCCGUACCUGACAAGGCUCAGAUCCCAAACGUACGUUCAAUUCUACUAAAAGUUGCUCAAGAUAAUUUUUUCUCUUUUUCUGUUUAAUUAAAAAAAGACAAUUUUGGAAUUUUAGAAUUACACUUGAGUUGUCUGAAAAAAUACAAUUUCAAUGAAAAAUCAUAUCAAGCAUUCAAGGGUAUAUUGCUAGUGCUAUAAUCUUUUUGCAUGUCUUUGUUUUCAUAGAAAAAAUCAAUAAAAUAACAUGUCUGAGACUUUUAAAUGGUUAAAUGUAACCACAUACUAUUAACGAUAUGCCUCAUGCACACACACACUCAAACUCAAAACAUGAAGGAAAAAGGAUCAGACGUCUUUCUCCUGCCUUUGUUCUAGCUUUCUUCUUAGCAGACCGUAGUUCUCCUUAGUUCCUAAUGUCCUGGGGUCAAGCUGCAAUGAGAUUUCACAGUGUUUCUUGGCCAAGUCUAGGUGUCCCCAGUGUGAUAAGGCACAGCCACGUUACCACGGUAACCUGCAGAAUCUGGAUUUGCUUUCAUUGCCUCGAGGAACAAAGCUUCAGAUUCCUUGUAUUUCUGGGAUUUCCCCAGCACCUUUGCCAACGAGAACAUGACAGAGGGAUCAUUAGCUGUUCAUUCCAGUGCCUGUCUUUCAACUGCUUCAGCUUGAGCUAAAUUACCUGUAUUUUCGAGCAGUGUCAUCACGUGUUGCAGGCCAGGCUGUGCUCUGGUGUCAGCUCCUCUCUCCACGCAUUCAAGGCAUCCACGUGGCGACUGAGAUCAGCGUACAGAGCCCGAGGCUGUGGUGACAAUCUGGGUGUUUCCUUCUGUGUUUAAUCGCCCUCCAGUAACUUCGCUCUGCCGCUUCCAACCGUUUCAGGUUGUUCUGCAGGAUGCCUGGAUCCGUCCACGCAGCGGCAAAGUCUGGCUGUGAUUGAACAGCCAAAGACGGCAGCUCCUCAGCUUCCUGUAGCUCAUGCCUUUCUUUUAAGCUAUUUCCAAGAUUAUUCACGGCAUGAACCUACUUGGGAAUUCAUCUUACCGCUUCCCGGUGGCACCUGCUGGCGGCUGCCUGGUUGCCUUUCUCAGCCGGGUUGUUGCCAGUGUUGUGGGGAACUGAGGACGCAGACCGGGCCUCUGCACAGCCGCACCCCCUCCGCCCCUGGCCCCUGCACCCCAGCACGUCGCCCAGGUUCCCAGCACCUCGCCCAGAUUCCCAGCACGUCGCCCAGGUUCCCAGCACCUCGCCCAGAUCCCCAGCACCUCGCUCAGAUCCCCAGCACCUCGCUCAGGUUCCCAGCACCUCGCCCAGAUCCCCAGCACCUCGCUCAGAUCCCCAGCACCUCGCUCAGGUUCCCAGCACCUCGCCCAGGUUCCCAGCACCGCAGCACUGAGUCUCUUUUCCGCGGUGCAUUUGCUCAGGGCUCCGAAUCCCAACGUCAGCAGCACACGGCGCCCGGCGCUGGGGAGGGACAGGACUCGCUCCGCGACCAAACCACGAAGCCCACUCGGAAGAGCAGGUUCCUUGCGGAGAGAAAUGGGAUGACGAGAAACCCCAGGCCCAGAGUGAGGAUCCUUCUCUUGUGGCCGCGUUCAGAGCCCAGGGCGAGGCGUGUUAGGCCGACGAGCAGGUGCAAUUACCCUCCGGUGGCUGAGGACUUGGUGAGGGGGAGGCAGCCCACGGACCCAUCAAAACACAGUCGCCAGGGACACAGCCUGCCGGGCGUUCAGUGAACGGCAGUAAUUGUAGUUUACGGCCCUCCCCGCAGGCUGUCAGCAAAGGAGGCCGCGUUGUCCACCUCGGGGAAGGCCGGCGGGGGUGCCUAUGAUCCUCCCGGGCACGUAGAGCAUCCCAGCCCCUCCGCAGGUGAGCAAGGGUCAUUCUAAAGAGGAGGCCCCGUUCCUGAGCUCCGAGUUCUCUAAUGACUUGUCUUAUGUAGUCCCUUCUGGACAAUUUCCAGAACACUGAAUUCGCCCACCACCAAGAUGUCAAAUCCCGAGUUCGAACCCAGCACGGUGAUCCCUCGCGCUUUGCACAGCAGGGCCACUGCUCCCAGAAAGACAGCAGCACCCGGAAGGUGGAAGAGCGUGCUCC